rnacentral:tRNA from 1 species
GCGGCGGUCGCCCAACGGGUGGGGCACCAGCCUCUUAAGCUGAAUUGUGUGGGUUCGAGUCCCACCCGCCGCACCA